rnacentral:rRNA from 1 species
GGAUAAGCCUGGGAAACUGGGUCUAAUACUGGAUAUGACCUUUCUCCUUAUGGGGUUUGGUGGAAAGUUUUUCGGUGUAGGAUGAGCCCGCGGCCUAUCAGCUUGUUGGUGGGGUGAUGGCCUACCAAGGCGACGACGGGUAGCGGCCUGAGAGGGUGAUCGGCCACAUUGGGACUGAGAUACGGCCCAG